rnacentral:rRNA from 1 species
AUGAGAGGCCUCAUUUGGAACUGUAGAGGGGCAGGCAAGAAAGGGAUGGCCACCGCCUGCCUCUCUGACCUGAUUAGUGACCAUUCCUUAGACUUUGGAGACUAUGAAAAAAAGUUUUCCCCUAAAUGCAUUAGGAGGAUUGAUCCUUUUGGUCUGUUUCAUUGGGAAUGGAUCCCAUCUGCUGGGAAAUCUGGGGGUAUCCUGAGUGGUGUGAGACAUGAUACUUUUGAUGUUAUUUCC